rnacentral:rRNA from 1 species
AUGGCGAGAAGCCGACAGUCCAUGCUCCUGGCCUUCGCCGUCGGGGCAAUGGCGGCGGUGCUGCUGGCAUCCCCGGCGGCGGCCAAGAGCUACAACAUCACCAAGAUCCUGGCGGCGCACCCGGAGUUCUCCAAGUUCAACGCGAUGCUGAGCAAGACGCGGCUCGCGUCCGACAUCAACCGGCGCCAGACCAUCACCGUGCUGGCCCUGGACAACUCGGCCAUGGCGGCGCUGGACCACUACACGCUGCCCACCGUCCGCCACAUUCUGUCCCUGCACGUCCUCGUCGACUACUACGGCAACAAGAAGCUCAAGCAGCUCUCGCGCGGCGCCACCGCCUCCGCAUCCAUGUUCCAGUCUACCGGGACGGCGUCGGGCAUGUCGGGCUACGUGAACAUCACGUCCCACAAGGGUGGCAAGGUGGAGUUCGUCAGCCAGGACGCCGACGACACCGUCAAGCCGUCCCGGUACGUCAAGUCCAUCAAGGAGAUCCCCUACGACAUCUCGGUGCUCGAGAUCAACUCCGUGCUCUCCUCCUCCGAGGCCGAGGCGCCCGUCCCGCCGCCGGCGCCGGUCGACCUCAUCGAGCUCCUCUCCAAGAAGCACUGCAAGUCGUUCGCCGGGCUCAUCUCCGGCAACGCCGACGUCUUCCGCACGCUCAACGAGACCAAGGACAACGGCCUCACCCUCUUCUGCCCCGUCGACGCCGCCGUGGCCGCCUUCAUGCCCAAGUACAAGAACCUCACGGCCAAGGCCAAGACGGCCAUCCUGCUCUACCACGGCGUGCCGGACUACUUCUCGCUGCAGCUGCUCAAGUCCAACAACGGCAUGGUCUCCACGCUCGCCACCACCAGCGAGGUCAAGAAGGACUACAGCUACGACGUGCAGAACGACGACGAGAAGGUCACCCUCGUCACCAAGGUCGUCACCUCCACCGUCACCGCCACCGUCGGCGACAGCGAGCCGCUCGCCGUCUACGCCGUCUCCAAGUUCUUGAAGCCAAAGGAGCUGUUCAAGGUCGCCCAGGCGCCAACGCCCGCCCCGUCAAAGAAGGGCAAGAAGGAGGCUGGCGACGACGACGACUCGUCUGACGACGAAGAUUCCGAUGAUGCCACCACUGAUAAGGGUGAUGCCGCGCCAGCGGUAUACGGGCGAUGGGCGACCGCGGCUGCGACGGCGGGAGCAGUAUUGGCAUUGUUGAUGGGCUAA